GAUGAACGCUGACAGAAUGCUUAACACAUGCAAGUCUUUGGCGAAGCUGUGCUUGCACAGCCUAGCCAAGGCGGACGGGUGAGUAACGCGUAAGGAACUUGCCCUGCAGUCAGAGAUAACAGACGGAAACGACUGAUAAGACCUGGUAAAGUCAGGCGGACUCAUGUCCAGCCUGAUGAAAAGAGAUGCUGCAGGAGAGCCUUGCGUCCUAUUAGCUUGUUGGUGGGGUAACGGCCCACCAAGGCGAUGAUAGGUAGCCGGCCUGAGAGGGUGGACGGCCACAAGGGGAAUGAGAUACGGCACUUACUCCUACGGGGGGCAGCAGUGGGGAAUAUUGGACAAUGGGGGCAACCCUGAUCAAGCAAUUCUGUGUGCACGAUGAAGGUUUUCGGAUUGUAAAGUGCUUUAAGCAGGGAAGAAAAAAAUGACGGUACCUGCAGAAGAAGCGACGGCUAAAUACGUG
rnacentral:rRNA from 1 species